GCUUUUCUUUUUUUCUAGCAGGGCGUGACGCAGAUUGAGGAUUUUCAGGUAUGUUUUCUGUUAAGACCUUUGUGUAUGUCUAAUGUUGCCUUUUCUUUUUUUCUAGCAGGGCGCGACACAGAUUGAGGAUUCAGGUAUGUUUUCUGUUAAGACCUUUGUGUAUGUCUAAUGGUUUUUUUUUCCUUUAGGUCGUGUGCCUUUUUUUUUUUUGCAGGGCGCGACGCAGAUUGAGGAUUCGCAGGUAUGUUUUCUGUUAAGACCUUUGUGUAUGUCUAAUGUUGUCUUUUCUUUUUUUCUAGCAGGGCGCGUCGCAGAUUGAGGAUUUUCAGGUAUGUUUUCUGUUAAGACCUUUGUGUAUGUCUAAUGUUGUCCUUUUCUUUUUUUCUAGCAGGGCGCGACGCAGAUUGAGGAUUCCCAGGUAUGUUUUCUGUUAAGACCUUUGUGUAUGUCUAAUGUUGUCUUUUCUUUUUUUUCUGGCAGGGCGCAUCGCAGAUUGGAGAUUUUCAGGUAUGUUUUCUGUUAAGACCUUUGUGUAUGUCUAAUUUCGCCUUUUCUUUUUUUCUAGUAGGGUGCGACGCAGAUUGAGGAUUCCCAGGUAUGUUUUCUGUUAAGACCUUUGUGUAUGUCUAAGGUUGUCUUUUCUUUUUUUCUGGCAGGGCGAGACGCAGAUUGGAGAUUUUCAGGUAUGUUUUCUGUUAAGACCUUUGUGUAUGUCUAAUAUCGCCUUUUCUUUUUUUUUCUGGCAGGGCAUGACGCAGAUUGAGGAUUUUCAGGUAUGUUUUCUGUUAAGACCUUUGUGUAUGUCUAAUGUUGUCUUUUCUUUUUUCUAGCAGGGCGCGACGCAGAUUGAGGAUUUUCCAGGUAUGUUUUCUGUUAAGACCUUUGUGUAUGUCUAAUGUCGCCUUUUCUUUUUUUCUAGCAGGGCGCGACGCAGAUUGAGGAUUCCCAGGUAUGUUUUCUGUUAAGACCUUUGUGUAUGUCUAAUUGCGCCUUUUCUUUUUUUUCUAGCAGGGCGCGACGCAGAUUGAGGAUUCCCAGGUAUGUUUUCUGUUAAGACCUUUGUGUAUGUCUAAUGUUGUCUUUUCUUUUAUUCUGGCAGGGCGCGACGCAGAUUGGAGAUUUGCAGGUAUGUUUUCUGUUAAGGCCUUUGUGUAUGUCAAAUGGUUCCUUUUUUUUCCUUUAGGUCAUGUGGCCUAUGGGACAUUUGCAGGUAUGUUUUCUGUUAAGGCCUUUGUGUAUGUCU
rnacentral:lncRNA from 1 species